UACAGAGGUCUCAAGCGUUGUUCGGAUUCAUUGGGCGUAAAGGGUGCGUAGGCGGCGCGGUAAGUCGGGUGUGAAAUCUCGGAGCUUAACUCCGAAACUGCAUUCGAUACUGCCGUGCUUGAGGACUGGAGAGGAGACUGGAAUUUACGGUGUAGCGGUGAAAAUGCGUAGAUAUCGUAAGGAAGACCAGUGCGAAAGGCGGGUCUCUGGACAGUUCCUGACGCUGAGGCACGAAGGUCAGGGGGAGCAAAACGGGG
rnacentral:rRNA from 1 species